CCAUCUCUACCCAUCUUUAAAGGAACUUCACUGUGCUACUACUCUCUGUGGCAGCUGCUGAAGGGAAGACAUCUUCCAUUAACAGAGGUAAGGGAAAGGUUAGUUCUUAUAGUUUCACUAAAUAAAAUAAGCUAUAAAACAGAGCACCUAGGUGCUGGGGAGAUGGUGCAGUGCUUGGGAGCACUUGCCUCUCUUGCAGAAGACCCUAUUUCCGGCCACCACACGGCAGUUCACAAUCAUCUGAUUGCAGUUCCAGGAGGUUGCUGUCUUCCUCUGGACUCCUCAAGCACCAGGCAUGCAUGCAUUUGGAGAACAUAUAUGCAUGCCAGUAAAUACCCAUACACAUUUAAAAAUAAAAAUCAGAAAUAAGCAUCCUAGGUCUGGCCAUUCUAAAUGGCUCGACAUUCUACAGUUCCAGCUUUUGCCAUAGUCUAUUUAAAUUUUGAGUCCUUGAAUGGAUUAAAGCAUUCAUUGAGAGCCCCCAUAAUCAAUUAUUCAGUGCCAAUACCCACACAGACGUGCUCAGAGAUGUGCUUUACUGAGUUCUUAAAUAUUUCUCACUCUGAGCAAGUUGACAAGAUUAUUAUAGACAGGAAUGAGGGGAAGUUGACUUUCACAGAAUACAAUAGGGUCUACCUGACCAUGUGCAUUAGACCCCCGCUUUCCAACACGGUUGAAUUUAGUAUCAAGUUUCCAAUAACUUUGGGGACACGUUCAAACCAUAGCAUUUCCUCUGGAGAUGCUGGAUCCCCGUCUUCUCCCUCCACAAGGAAUGUCUCUUCUGUCCUAGGUUGCAGCUCCAGAUGUGGUACACAGUGAACAUCUACCAAGGCAUUUCAAGGUUCCAGGACCUAGAACAAAGACAUUGUCCAUAGAGAUCAAGCAAACAUGGAAUUUUCCCGUGGAUUCUAACAGACGACGAUGUUUCUGUCUUCUUGAGUGAGCAUCAAAGAACAGAAACUUCCCUUACUUGCUAAUAGAUAGACCCUCCAGAAUUCCAGAAUCUCCCAGAGCCUACAACCUGUUAGACAUUUCAGUUCCCGUACAGCAUGUUCCUGAUUUAUAAGUUUUACUCCUUGGCAGUCUUAUCGCCAUUAACAACUCACCCUUAACCACUUGGAGUCACUCUUCAGUGGUCAUCAUUGGCAUCACUCUAGCAACACAAACUAUGUCUACAGGCAAAAUUCUAACACUGAAUUGAUGAGAUUGCUGUUUUAGUCACAAUAGCCAGGAAAUAGAACCAGCUGAGGUGUCCAUCAACUGAAGAACAGGUACAUAAAAUGUGGUACAUAUACAUAAUGGGAUUUUAUGCAAUUACAAGAAGGACUUGAAGCAUGACAUUGGUAAGAAAAUGGACAGACAUAAAAAUCAUUGUAUUAAGUGAAUUAAAGCAGAUUAAGAAAAGCAAA